rnacentral:rRNA from 1 species
UUGCACGCUGGCGGCAGGCCUCACACAUGCAAGUCGAACGGUAACAGGAAGCAGCUUGCUGCUUCGCUGACGAGUGGCGGACGGGUGAGUAAUGUCUGGGAAGCUGCCUGAUGGAGGGGGAUAACUACUGGAAACGGUAGCUAAUACCGCAUAAUGUCGCAAGACCAAAGAGGGGGACCUUCGGGCCUCUUGCCAUCGGAUGUGCCCAGAUGGGAUUAGCUUGUUGGUGGGGUAACGGCUCACCAAGGCGACGAUCCCUAGCUGGUCUGAGAGGAUGACCAGCCACACUGGGACUGAGACACGGUCCAGACUCCUACGGGAGGCAGCAGUGGGGAAUAUUGCACAAUGGGCGCAAGCCUGAUGCAGCCAUGCCGCGUGUAUGAAGAAGGCCUUCGGGUUGUAAAGUACUUUCAGCGGGGAGGAAGGGAGUAAAGUUAAUACCUUUGCUCAUUGACGUUACCCGCAGAAGAAGCACCGGCUAACUCCGUG